CUCACCUUAGCUCAGUUGGAAGAGCAUAAGACUGUAAUUGAUAUCGAAAUCUUGGGGUCCCCGGUUCGAUCCCGGGAGGUGAGA
rnacentral:tRNA from 1 species